UGGGGAAUCUUGGACAAUGGGGGCAACCCUGAUCCAGCGAUGCCGCGUGAGCGAAGAAGGCCUUAGGGUUGUAAAGCUCUUUCGCCCGCGACGAUGAUGACGGUAGCGGGAGAAGAAGCCCCGGCUAACUCCGUGCCAGCAGCCGCGGUAAUACGGAGGGUGCAAGCGUUAUCCGGAUUCACUGGGUUUAAAGGGUGCGUAGGUGGGCAGAUAAGUCAGUGGUGAAAUCUUCCGGCUUAACCGGGAAACUGCCGUUGAUACUAUUUGUCUUGAAUAUUGCGGAGGUAAGCGGAAUAUGUCAUGUAGCGGUGAAAUGCUUAGAUAUGACAUAGAACACCAAUUGCGAAGGCAGCUUACUACACAAUCAUUGACACUGAGGCACGAAAGCGUGGGUAGCGAACA
rnacentral:rRNA from 1 species